GAUCAUGGCUCAGGAUGAACGCUAGCUACAGGCUUUAACACAUGCAAGUCGAGGGGAAACGAUAGAGAAAGCUUGCUUUUUCUAGGCGUCGACCGGCGCACGGGUGAGUAACGCGUAUCCAACCUGCCCAUCACUUGGGGAUAACCUUGCGAAAGUAAGACUAAUACCCAAUGAUAUCUCUAGAAGACAUCUGAAAGAGAUUAAAGAUUUAUCGGUGAUGGAUGGGGAUGCGUCUGAUUAGCUUGUUGGCGGGGUAACGGCCCACCAAGGCGACGAUCAGUAGGGGUUCUGAGAGGAAGGUCCCCCACAUUGGAACUGAGACACGGUCCAAACUCCUACGGGAGGCAGCAGUGAGGAAUAUUGGUCAAUGGACGAGAGUCUGAACCAGCCAAGUAGCGUGAAGGAUGAAGGUCUUACGGAUUGUAAACUUCUUUAUAAGGGAAUAAACCCUCCCACGUGUGGGAGCUUGUAUGUACCUUAUGAGUAAGCAUCGGCUAACUCCGUG
rnacentral:rRNA from 1 species